AAAUGUAAACGUUUCCUGGAAACUAUAGGAUAAUUGGUCAUCAUCUCUGGGUCCUGUGGCCCUUGUCGGUUUAGUAUCGUCUUCAGAGAAGGCCCAGCACAGUGACAUAAAGGAUGAUGUUCAACGAAGGCAUUUAGAAACCAAGAUGAACUUCCUUUGAUAUGACGAUCUCACUGACCCUCAAAAUUUCAAAAGCAAAAUGUUUAGUAGAGUGAAGAAGGAAGCUUCAUGUAAACUUAAAAGUGCAGCAAGAAAAAAGGCAAGAGUGGUCCUGUCGUUUGAAAGCCAUAUGUAAGUGGAGUCCCAAGUGGGGGGAUGUAGGUGCAAAUUAAGUUAAGUACUCAGAAAAAUUGCUUUCAGAAAGCUCAUGAUCAUAAAAUAAGACAGAAGUUCCAAAUGAAAAAGCUACCUGAGACUAAGUAAAAGGGUAACCCAAUUAGACAUCAAAGCAGUUCCCACUGCAUCUGGGAUUUCACAGGUGACGUUUUUAGACGAGGAGGUUUGAAUCAUUUGUUCCUUGCUGCAUUGUCGGUGUGCCUGUUGAAGCGGAAGGGUUGCUUCUAGGCAAUGCUCAGACUUUCUCCCUCCUACUCACUGCUGCCUGUGAGUCAUCAGAACCAGUAUGCCUUCCGUCCUUCACACACAAAGAGGACGCUGUUGACCCGUCAGCAGGGAAUGCGCUGGCUCGGUGACCACUGUGAAAGGGCCAUUUGACACCCACGCUACGCUACGCAAUGGGAAAUAAACCUUUGCUGCCAGCAUUGUGUCAUGAAACUUCAGAAAAUAAUGACUUAGAUACAGUUAAAGAUCUGCCCAAAGGGCAGGUCUUGUUCAGCUGUGGGAGCAGAAACAUUGGGGUUUGUCCCCCAACUUUUUCAAGUGUGGUGACACUGCAGUUCCAGGUCUUCUAGUACUACUGUGUAUUUGGGUAAAGAAAGACCGGGAGACUACACAUAUCUUCACAUGGUCUGGGCCGAGGUGCCAUGAGGGAAUUUUCUAACAGAACCGACCCAGACUAGUGUACUGCCAUCACCUGGAGCCCUUUAGUGACCUCACCACUACCACACAAUUGUCAGCAGUCCUGCGUUGGAGAUGUGUCAUGAGAAAUUGAGUCAACAGAGCAAAGUGGAGAGGUUCCAGAUAUCUGGGGCUUUCCUUGAACAGAACACUUAGAAUGACCAGAAGAGUUGAAUAAAGAAAGACACCAUCAGUUUUAGUCCUCACGAUGGUACUGGUAGUGCCCAGGAAAAGGACACAUGGAAUACUGUGUUACUCAGAUUUUUGCUACUGUAAGAAGAGCCUCGGACAUGCCAGUGUAAAGGAAGAAAGGUUCUUAUUUCAGGCAUGUAUUAGGGGCUUUCAGACCAUGAUCAGUUGACCUUGUUGCUCUGGGCCUGUGGUGGCAUAGCACAUGAUGGCCAGAGAGUGACAGAACAAGACUGCUAACCUCUGGAAGCCAUGAAACAGGAAGCUGAUGGGGGCUGAGGUCCCACAAUCCCCUUUUUAAAAGUGCAUAUGGCCGGGCGUUGGUGGCGCACGCCUUUAAUCCCAGCACUUGGAAGGCAGAGGCAGGCGGAUCUCUGUGAGAUCGAGGCCAGCCUGGUCUCCAGAGCGAGUGCCAGGAUAGGCUCCAAAGCUACACAGAGAAACCCUGUCUUGGGGGAAAAAAAUGCAUGUGGCCAGUCACCCAAGACCUUGUACAAGGUCCCUUCUCUUAGAGGCUAUACCGCUACCUCCUAAUAGCACAUUCUGGAGACCGAACUUUACAUGUGUUGGGUCCUUUGGAAGACAUUCCAGAUCCAAAGGAUAACAGUAUUCAUAGCAAGGCAUCUUGCCUGAGACAGGGAAUUUGCUUCUAGUAGAUUUGAUUACAAACCUAAAAUGGUUUGGAAUAGUAUGUUAACUGAAGAAAAUCCAGUUUUAUAGAGAGAUUCGACUCUGUGCCCUUGGAAGCCAGAGGAGGGCAUCAGAUUCAUUGGAAUUGGAGUUAGAGAUGGUUGCAAUCUACCAUGUCAGUGUUGGGAAUUGAACCCAGGUCCUCUGGAAAACCCCUGAGCCAUCUCUCCAGUCCCAUAGCAAUUAUUCCAAAGAGACAAGAUCCACCCUACUCCUUCCAAGAGAGGGCUUUUCCUAAUGUUUGCAUUUU
rnacentral:lncRNA from 1 species